CACGCACUGGCUGGCUCACGGGAAGGCACGGUUUUUCUUCUGGCUGAGGCUCUUUCCAAUCAGCGUGGUGGCAGGACUUGCUUCUUGGGAAGGCUGAGGGUGGGGACUUUUGAAAGUCAUGGUUUGCUGAGUAACCGGAAGUGGUUUGGAGGGACAGAAACGCUGUCCCAAGGCAUGCUGGGACUGCGAGGAGCCCACAAGACACCAAAGAGCCAGGCUUUCUGGUAAUCCAUGCAAGCCAUGCGGGGCCCAGGAAGAGAGGAGCGGUUAGCACCUUCUGUGAGCCUCCUGGCCUGCGGGGUGAGAAUCAAGGACCCCACCCCCCAGCAACUGGCUGACUCUGAGGACAGGCUGAGUUGGUAGCAACUGAGGUACAAAAAGCAACUGAACGCUUGCAUUGUUUGGUUGACUUUGCAGGCCUGAACAUCUAUGGAAGAUAAUAGUAUGCAGCAUGGCAAAUAUGGGGGAUUCCUUUGGCCUUGUCUUUGAAGUCUAAUAUUGUUCUUACUGUUUUGUUUUGUUCCUACUUAUUAUUUUGCUUCAAUGUUCUGUUUUGAUUGGGUUUGCUCUGUUGGGUUUGGUUUGAUUUUUAAUGCCUGAUGGAUUGGACCACAAGAUACACCAUGGUAGCCAUUCGGGUUUUCCUGGUGUCCUGCUUCGAGGUUCUGUACCAAUUUCACCGCUUUGCUUUGCUUGGCUUUAUUCUGUUUUGUUUUGUUGGGUUUUACUAUGUUUACACUAAAAGAACAGCAAGUGGACUGGCAGUGGAGGAGCUGAGAGGCCCGGGCUGAGGAGGACGGGGCACUGAGGAGCUAAGCAAGGGGUUUGAAGCUGGAAGAGGCUGAGACCGCUGUGUGCUGGUGCAGAGGUUCCUUGGAGGUGGAAAGUGUUUACCUCUCCACGUUGCUGUUGCUCGAGAACUGAGAGCAAUUGGGACUUGUGUCACCUGCUUCCUGCACCAUAGAAGGGACACAUGGAACUUCUCUGUCUUCUGCAUUUCCUACCGAAAUGGCCUGCAGCAGUCGGAGACCUGAGCACAGUGUGUGUGAAGUGAAGAAUUCCCUGGAGUCUGGGGAAAAUGGGAAGUGUGAUUUCUCCUUUGAAAAUAUCCUGAAUGACGCUUGGUGGGUAGAUAUUUGAGUGAGAUUAAGAAUGGAGACGAAGAGUAAGAACUUUAUAUUCUAUUUGGCUUUGAAAAAUCAGAAUUGGCUAUAAAAUUGUAGACAUAUGGGCUUUUUGUGUAAAACGAAAUCACCUGAAUUUGUACAGACAUAUGUGACAAUCGUGCCCCCUAGUGGCUAUUUCCAGAGUGAAAACCAGGCUGGCGAGCGUACUCCACAAACACACUCAGUUUUCUAAAAGGGACACUAGUGUUUCCAGAGUCCAAGUUGUCCAUGAAAAUGUAUAAGAAAAGUUUUCUUUUCCCCAAGAACAGUCACUCAUAAAAGGCGUAUAAUAUUGGUUAACAAAUAAAAUCUACUUUAAAAAAA